GACGAACGCUGGCGGCGUGCUUAACACAUGCAAGUCGAACGGAAAGGCCCUGCUUUGGUGGGGUGCUCGAGUGGCGAACGGGUGAGUAACACGUGAGUAACCUGCCCUUGACGUUGGGAUAACUUCAGGAAACUUGGGCUAAUACCGGAUAGGAGCUCCUGCGGCAUGGUGGGGGUUGGAAAGUUUCGGCGGUUGGGGAUGGACUCGCGGCUUAUGAUCUUGUUGGUGGGGUAGUGGCUGACCAAGGGUUUGACGGGUAGCCGGCAUGAGAGGGUGACCGGCCACAUUGGGACUGAGAUACGGACCAGACUCCUACGGGAGGCAGCAGUGGGGAAUAUUGCACAAUGGGCGGAAGCCUGAUGAAGCAACGCCGCGUGCGGGAUGACGGCCUUCGGGUUGUAAACCGCUUUCGCCUGUGACGAAGCGUGAGUGACGGUAAUGGAUAAAGAAGCACCGGCUAACUACGUG
rnacentral:rRNA from 1 species